GAUGAACGCUGGCGGCGUGCCUAAUACAUGCAAGUCGAGCGAACGGACGAGAAGCUUGCUUCUCUGAUGUUAGCGGCGGACGGGUGAGUAACACGUGGAUAACCUACCUAUAAGACUGGGAUAACUUCGGGAAACCGGAGCUAAUACCGGAUAAUAUUUUGAACCGCAUGGUUCAAAAGUGAAAGACGGUCUUGCUGUCACUUAUAGAUGGAUCCGCGCUGCAUUAGCUAGUUGGUAAGGUAACGGCUUACCAAGGCAACGAGGCAUAGCCGACCUGAGAGGGUGAUCGGCCACACUGGAACGGAGACACGGUCCAGACUCCUACGGGAGGCAGCAGUAGGGAAUCUUCCGCAAUGGGCGAAAGCCUGACGGAGCAACGCCGCGUGAGUGAUGAAGGUCUUCGGAUCGUAAAACUCUGUUAUUAGGGAAGAACAUAUGUGUAAGUAACUGUGCACAUCUUGACGGUACCUAAUCAGAAAGCCACGGCUAACUACGUG
rnacentral:rRNA from 1 species